CAGCCGUAAACUAUGCGCGUUAGGUGUACUGGUGACCACGAGUCACCGGGGUGCCGAAGGGAAACCGUGAAACGUGCCGCCUGGGAAGUACGGUCGCAAGGCUGAAACUUAAAGGAAUUGGCGGGGGGAGCACCACAACGGGUGGAGCCUGCGGUUUAAUUUGGACUCAACGCCGGAAAUCUCACCGGAUAGGACAGACAUAUGAUAGUCGGGCUGAAGACUCUACUUGAUGAUCUGAGAGGUGGUGCAUGGCGUCAGUGACU
rnacentral:rRNA from 1 species